CCUACGGGAGGCAGCAGUGAGGAAUAUUGGUCAAUGGGCGGAAGCCUGAACCAGCCAAGUCGCGUGAGGGAAUAAGGCCCUACGGGUCGUAAACCUCUUUUGCCGGGGAGCAAGGGCGGGGACGUGUCCCGGCCCGGAGAGUACCCGGAGAAAAAGCAUCGGCUAACUCCGUGCCAGCAGCCGCGGUAAUACGGAGGAUGCGAGCUUUAUCCGGAUUUAUUGGGUUUAAGGGGUGCGUAGGCGGGCUUUUAAGUCGGUGGGAAAGAUUCGGGGUAAAACCCCGUCCGGCCGUUGAUACUGGGAGCCUUGAGUGCGCGAGAGGAAGGCGGAAUGCGUGGUGUAGCGGUGAAAUGCAUAGAUAUCACGCAGAACCCCGAUUGCGAAGGCAGCCUGCCGGCGCCCUACUGACGCUGAGGCACGAAAGUGCGGGGAUCGAACAGGAUUAGAUACCCUUGUAGUC
rnacentral:rRNA from 1 species